AGUCACGAGUUUGAUCCUGGCUCAGAUUGAACGCUGGCGGCAGGCCUAACACAUGCAAGUCGAGCGGGGUUUUCGGACCUAGCGGCGGACGGGUGAGUAAUGCGUAGGAAGCUACCCGAUAGAGGGGGGAUACCAGUUGGAAACGACUGUUACUACCGCAUAAUGUCUACGGACCAAAGUGUGGGACCUUCGGGCCACAUGCUAUCGGAUGCGCCUACGUAAGAUUAGCUAGUUGGUGGGGUAAAGGCCUACCAAGGCGACGAUCUUUAGCUGGUCUGAGAGGAUGAUCAGCCACACUGGGACUGAGACACGGUCCAGACUCCUACGGGAGGCAGCAGUGGGGAAUUUUGGACAAUGGGCGCAAGCCUGAUCCAGCAAUGCCGCGUGCAGGAUGAAGGCCUUCGGGUUGUAAACUGCUUUUGUACGGAACGAAACGGCCCUUUCUAAUACAAGGGGCUAAUGACGGUACCGUAAGAAUAAGCACCGGCUAACUACGUG
rnacentral:rRNA from 1 species